GCAGGCUUUGAUCCGGGGAUUUCCGAAUGGGGAAACCCAGCUGGAGUAAUGUCCAGUUACUCUUAACUGAAUACAUAGGUUAAGAAGAGGCAUACCGGGGGAACUGAAACAUCUAAGUACCCCGAGGAAGAGAAAACAAAAGUGA
rnacentral:rRNA from 1 species